UUUAGGACACGUGGUGUGGCGGGGUUUGGGAGAUUCUUGACCCUGGGUUGGGCCCUGUGGCCCAGAUCCAGCGAGACCGCUGGGAAGCUGUCGCUAUGCUGGAACUGUCUCUUCCCUUUCAUUUGAAUUUCAUCCGCCUCUUAUUUUAGUCAUCCUUGAUACACUUCAGCUUCCCUUUCUCCAGUUCUCCCCCGUGCCCAUGUUUCCCUUCCUACGUUACUGGUUGCAUCUCUUCCCUUCCUUUCCCCACAUUCACAGGGAAGUUGGUUCUCAGUUGCCCUGUUUACUAGCAUUAAUAUGCCCAGCCUCUGCUACUCGGCCCUUUAGCAAAAUGCUGAAAAUGCCUAUUCCAGAGGUAUUUCGAGCUUACCACAUCCAAACUCCAUGAAGACAAAGGUCAUAUUCAUCUUGCGAACUGUUGGCAUCCUCAGCACCUGGCACGUAAUAGCAUCCCAUAGGGAGUAGAAGGUCUUUGCUCUUCCAUGAUAUAACCUAAGCAACUCUCCACCCCUGUAGAAGAUUGCCUCUGACUGAGUGGAACAACCUGCAGAUCUUGUUAAAAUACAGAUUCUGGUAAAGCUGGUCUGAGGUGGGACCGAGGUUCUCCAUUUCUAACAAACUUCCAGGUGAUGUAACCCUGCUGGAUCCCCUUUGAGCAGCAAGGCUGUAAAUUGAAGACAAGGUCUCUUGUUUUGAGCCCCAGAGAAUAUGGCAGGGGAAAACAGCAGCAUUCUUUCCCAACAAGGCCCAGUAAAGCCCACAUGUUGAGCUGCCUGGAGAGUUUGCAUUUUCUGACGGCAAGAUGGAAGCUCUUUGGAGUCCAUUUUGAGGCCAUUCUGGCCCAAACCUCACUGAAAAGCAUGAUUGUUCAGAAACUGCAGCACAGUUGUGAAUGGCGCCAGAUUCUUAUUGUACACACCUGCACUCUUAAGGUGGUGGAGAGGUGGGUGGUGGUAGCCCUACUCAGUUAUGUGUUAAUUCUGUACAAAGCAAAAACUGUAAUUGAGAUAAAAAUCAGAAACAUAAAUCCCAUCUUACAACAUUUGUGACAUCCCAUAUAAUUAAUGGACAAAAGUGAAAACUUAAAUUGCACUCGUAAAAUGAAAAUAGUUAUUGAAAUAAACUUUACUCCCCCCAUUUAA